rnacentral:tRNA from 1 species
CCAUCGGUGGUUCAGUGGUUGAAUGCUCGCCUGCCACGCGGGCAGCCCGGGUUCGAUUCCCGGCCGAUGAU